CAUCAAAAACCAAGUCUCUAAGCAAUGGAUGUCUUGGCUCCUCACACGAUGAAGAACGUGGCAUAAUGUGUUAAGUAACCGGAGUUGCAAACAUCAUGACAGGUUAAUCUUUGAAUGCAAAUUGCGCUAAACUCGAUCUCGGUCGAGAAGCAUGGGUGUGACAGUACUACAUCUUUUAUAAUAAUUCUUAUUCUAAGCGAAUAAGUAAAUAAUAUAUAAGACAAACAACACGUAGUCUGCCAUACGCAGGAAGACCCGCUGAACUGAAGCAUCUCAUUAAGCGGAGGAAAAGAAACUAACUAGGAUUCCCUUAGUAAAGGCGAUCGAAAAGGGAACAGCCCAACGUCUUAAUCCCGCAAGGGAAAUGUAGUCGGUUCACCUAUUGCACUGGUCUAAGUCAGAUGGAAUGCUGCGCGAUUCAGAGUAAAAGCCUCGUAUGACCAACCGCAAGCUUACGAUGGACCGGGGAGAGUCGGAUACUUUGAGAGUAGUGUCUUAAGGGGGGUGGUAUGUCCCAUCCAAGGCUAAAUAACGUGAGGAGACCGAU
rnacentral:ncRNA from 1 species